CACACCGCCCGUCACACCAUGGGAGUCGAUUGCUCCAGAAGUGCCCGAGCCAACCGCAAGGAGGCAGGGCCCCAAGGAGUGAUCGGUAACUGGGGUG
rnacentral:rRNA from 1 species